rnacentral:rRNA from 1 species
CGGAUCGUAAAGCUCUGUUGUUAGGGAAGAACAAGUACCGUUCGAAUAGGGCGGUACCUUGACGGUACCUAACCAGAAAGCCACGGCUAACUACGUGCCAGCAGCCGCGGUAAUACGUAGGUGGCAAGCGUUGUCCGGAAUUAUUGGGCGUAAAGGGCUCGCAGGCGGUUUCUUAAGUCUGAUGUGAAAGCCCCCGGCUCAACCGGGGAGGGUCAUUGGAAACUGGGGAACUUGAGUGCAGAAGAGGAGAGUGGAAUUCCACGUGUAGCGGUGAAAUGCGUAGAGAUGUGGAGGAACACCAGUGGCGAAGGCGACUCUCUGGUCUGUAACUGACGCUGAGG